rnacentral:sRNA from 1 species
AUUAUUCUAUUUUAUCGGAUGUUAAUCUUCUGAAUAAAGAAGGUCAUGUAAAUUUAAUUUCUUUGGAGGUACUACAAUGCAAACAGGUACAGUAAAAUGGUUUAAUGCAGAAAAAGGAUUUGGUUUUAUCGAGGUUGAAGGCGGAAGCGACGUAUUCGUUCACUUUUCUGCUAUCACUGGCGACGGUUUCAAAACUUUGGACGAAGGUCAACGCGUUGAAUUCAACGUUGUUGAAGGAAACCGUGGUCCACAAGCUGAGAACGUUGUAAAACUGUAAUUCAGUUUAUAAGACGCCCUUAACGUUAGUUAAGGGUGUUUUU